rnacentral:rRNA from 1 species
GACAGAGGUGCCAAGCGUUAGGCGGAAUCACUGGGCUUAAAGCGUGUGUAGGCGGGCGGGCAAGUACCUUGUGAAAUCCCACGGCUCAACCGUGGAACGGCUGGGUAUACUGCCUGUCUUGAGCCAGCUAGGGGCGACCGGAACAGACGGUGGAGCGGUGAAAUGCGUAGAUAUCGUCUGGAACGCCAAAGGUGAAAACAGGUCGCUGGGGCUGAGCCGACGCUGAGACACGAAAGCCAGGGGAGCGAACGGG